rnacentral:tRNA from 1 species
GGGGCUGUAGCUCAGUUGGGAGAGCGGUUCGUUCGCAACGAACAGGUCGAGGGUUCGAAUCCCUUCAGCUCCACAA